GACGAACGCUGGCGGCGUGCUUAACACAUGCAAGUCGAACGGAAAGGCCCCUUUGGGGGUCCUCGAGUGGCGAACGGGUGAGUAACACGUGAGUAACCUGCCCUUGACUUCGGGAUGACUUCAGGAAACUGGGGCUAAUACCGGAUAGGAAUCCUUGCUGCAUGGUGGGGGUUGGAAAGCUUCGGCGGUUUUGGAUGGACUCGCGGCUUAUCAGCUUGUUGGUGGGGUAGUGGCUUACCAAGGCUUUGACGGGUAGCCGGCCUGAGAGGGCGACCGGCCACAUUGGGACUGAGAUACGGCCCAGACUCCUACGGGAGGCAGCAGUGGGGAAUAUUGCACAAUGGGCGGAAGCCUGAUGCAGCAACGCCGCGUGCGGGAGGACGGCCUUCGGGUUGUAAACCGCUUUCAGCAGGGGCGAAGCUUGUGGUGACGGUACCUGCAGAAGAAGCACCGGCUAACUACGUG
rnacentral:rRNA from 1 species